UACAGAGGGUGCAAGCGUUAAUCGGAAUUACUGGGCGUAAAGCGCGCGUAGGUGGUUUGUUUAAGUUGGAUGUGAAAUCCCCCGGGCUCAACCUGGGAACUGCAUCCAAAACUGGCAAGCUAGAGUAUGGUAGAGGGUGGGUGGAAUUUCCUGUGUAGCGGUGAAAUGCGUAGAAUAUAGGAAGGAACACCAGUGGCGAAAGGGCGACCCACCUGGACUGAUACUGACACUGAGGUGCGAAAGCGUGGGGAGCAAACAGGA
rnacentral:rRNA from 1 species